rnacentral:rRNA from 1 species
UAGGGAAUCUUCGGCAAUGGACGGAAGUCUGACCGAGCAACGCCGCGUGAGUGAAGAAGGUUUUCGGAUCGUAAAGCUCUGUUGUAAGAGAAGAACGAGUGUGAGAGUGGAAAGUUCACACUGUGACGGUAUCUUACCAGAAAGGGACGGCUAACUACGUGCCAGCAGCCGCGGUAAUACGUAGGUCCCGAGCGUUGUCCGGAUUUAUUGGGCGUAAAGCGAGCGCAGGCGGUUAGAUAAGUCUGAAGUUAAAGGCUGUGGCUUAACCAUAGUAGGCUUUGGAAACUGUUUAACUUGAGUGCAAGAGGGGAGAGUGGAAUUCCAUGUGUAGCGGUGAAAUGCGUAGAUAUAUGGAGGAACACCGGUGGCGAAAGCGGCUCUCUGGCUUGUAACUGACGCUGGGGCUCGAAAGCGUGGGGAGCAAACAGGAUUAGAUACCCUGGUAGUCCACACUGUAAACGAUGAGUGCUAGGUGUUAGACCCUUUCCGGGGUUUAGUGCCGUAGCUAACGCAUUAAGCACUCCGCUCGGGGAGUACGACUGCAAGGUUG